rnacentral:rRNA from 1 species
CCUACGGGUGGCAGCAGUGGGGAAUAUUGCGCAAUGGGGGGAACCCUGACGCAGCCAUGCCGCGUGAAUGAAGAAGGCCUUCGGGUUGUAAAGUUCUUUCGGUAUUGAGGAAGGAGUGUAUGUUAAUAGCAUGCAUUAUUGACGUUAAAUACAGAAGAAGCACCGACUAACUCCGUGCCAGCAGCCGCGGUAAUACGGAGGGUGCGAGCGUUAAUCGGAAUAACUGGGCGUAAAGGGCACGCAGGCGGUUAUUUAAGUGAGGUGUGAAAGCCCCGUGCUUAACCUGGGAAUUGCAUUUCAGACUGGGUAACUAGAGUACUUUAGGGAGGGGUAGAAUUCCACGUGUAGCGGUGAAAUGCGUAGAGAUGUGGAGGAAGACCGAAGGCGAAGGCAGCCCCUUGGGAAUGUACUGACGCUCAUGUGCGAAAGCGUGGGGAGCAAACAGGAUUAGAUACCCCGGUAGUC